GAUCCUGGCUCAGAACGAACGCUGGCGGCAUGCCUAACACAUGCAAGUCGAACGAGAUCUUCGGGUCUAGUGGCGCACGGGUGCGUAACGCGUGGGAAUCUGCCCUUUGGUUCGGAAUAACAGUUGGAAACGACUGCUAAUACCGGAUGAUGACGAAAGUCCAAAGAUUUAUCGCCAGAGGAUGAGCCCGCGUAGGAUUAGCUAGUUGGUGUGGUAAAGGCGCACCAAGGCGACGAUCCUUAG
rnacentral:rRNA from 1 species